CGAAGGGGGCUAGCGUUGCUCGGAAUUACUGGGCGUAAAGAGCGCGUAGGCGAAUAUUUAAGUCAGGGGUGAAAGCCCGGGGCUCAACCUCGGAAUUGCCUUUGAUACUGGAUAUCUUGAGUUCGGGAGAGGUGAGUGGAAUGCCGAGUGUAGAGGUGAAAUUCGUAGAUAUUCGGCGGAACACCAGUGGCGAAGGCGACCCACUGGCCCGAUACUGACGCUGAGGCGCGAAAGCGUGGGGAGCAAACAGGAUUAGAUACCCUGGUAGUCCACGCCGUAAACGAUGAGUGCUAGUUGUCGGCAUGCAUGCAUGUCGGUGACGCAGCUAACGCAUUAAGCACUCCGCCUGGGGAGUACGGUCGCAAGAUUA
rnacentral:rRNA from 1 species